CUUUUUUUCCUGAUCUGCAGGAGUCAUCUUGUCUACAAAUGAAGCUGUUGAGAGUCUUUUGUAUACAGCUGGUUGCAGUAUUUGGUUACUUGAGGAUGUUGAUUGGGCAUCCUUUUGUGAUGCUGAUGUUAUGGAAGCAGCAGCAGCACUUCUGGAUUGAGAACAUUGGAAAGAGCUACUUGCACUUUCAUCAUCAUGAUCUACACCUGCUCCUCACUUACACUCAUGAAGAAUUUAAUGUCUGGCAGAACACUACUUGCAUACAAGGAUGUUUGGUAUUCCUAGUAGCAUUUGGAAAUGCAUAUUUCAUUUGACAGUAUUUGC